GCUGGCCGUUAGGGUCCGCAUUGUAAUUUGUAGAGGAUGCUUUGGGUGAAACGCCAGUCUGAANUUCCUUGGAACNGGACGUCAUAGAGGGUGAGAAUCCCGUAUGUGACUGGAAAUGUUAACCUAUGUAAAGCUCCUUCGACGAGUCGAGUUGUUGGGAAUGCAGCUCUAAAUGGGAGGUAAAUUCUUCUAAAGCUAAAUAUGGCGAGAGACCGAUAGCGCAGGAGUAGAGUGAUCGAAAGAUGAAAAGCACUUUGGAAAGAGAGUUACAAAGCACGUGAAAUUGUUGAAAGGGAAGCGCUUGCAAUCAGACUUGUUUAAACUGUUCGGCCGGUCUUCUGACCGGUUUACUCAGUUUGGGACAGGCCAGCAUCAGUUUCGGCGGCCGGAUAAGGCUCUGGGAAUGUGGCCUUCACUUCGGUGAAGGUGUUAUAGCCCAGGGGUGUUAUACCGGCCAGCCGGGGGA
rnacentral:rRNA from 1 species